rnacentral:rRNA from 1 species
UACGUAGGGUGCAAGCGUUGUCCGGAAUUAUUGGGCGUAAAGAGCUCGUAGGCGCUUGUCACGUCGCUGUGAAAACCUGGGGCUCAACCCCGGGCCUGCAGCCAUCGGGCAAGCUAGAAUUCGGUAGGGGAGACUGAAUUCCUGGUGUAGCGGUGAAAUGCGCAGAUAUCAGGAGGAACACCGAUGCGAAGGCAGGUCUCUGGGCAUUAACUGACUGAGGAGCGAAAGCAUGGGGGAGCGAACAGG